rnacentral:lncRNA from 1 species
GAAGUUCGUCCGGGUUUCAGGGCAGGGUUAGUGGGCAGGUUUGGGAUUCUUGGACCCCUCGAGAUUCUAAGUGUGCUUCCCAGUUUGCUUAAUGGCAAUGUACACAGUUGGACUUUGGGUUAGGUCAGCCAGGGAGACCAGCGGCGGCCUCGGCGGCGGGGCUUUGUUGGAGGAACGGACCACGACUGAACCUGGAAGAGCCAAGCUUAGAGGACCAGGUUAGGAACAGAAACAAGGACCACAAUGCUGAGUGCGAGCAGCAGAACUGACUGGAGCCAGGAUAACAACCUCAGUUCCCAGACAGAGAUGGAUUUCUAUUCCUGUUUCCAUGCCUACUGCAGUCACCCGUGUGAUAGGAAAUGUACUGGAGAAUUACCUUCAAAGCUGAUUGACCAUGUAGGAGUGGGCUGGAGAGAUGGCUUAGAGGUAAGAGCACAGGCUGAUUUUCCAAAGGUCCUGAGUUCAAUUCCCAGCAACCACAUGAUGGCUCAUAACCAUCUAUAACGAGAUCUAAUGCCCUUUUCUGGCGUGCAGGUGUACAUGCAGGUAGAACACUGUAUAGAUAAUAAAUAAAUCUUUAAAAAAACA